UACGUAGGGAGCAAGCGUUGUUCGGAUUACUGGGCGUAAAGGGCGCGUAGGCGGCGCGACAAGUCACUUGUGAAAUCUCCGGGCUUAACUCGGAACGGCCAAGUGAAACUGUCAUGCUAGAGUGCAGAAGGGGCAAUCGGAAUUCUUGGUGUAGCGGUGAAAUGCGUAGAUAUCAAGAGGAACACCUGAGGUGAAGACGGGUUGCUGGCUGACACUGACGCUGAGGCGCGAAAGCCAGGGGAGCAAACGGG
rnacentral:rRNA from 1 species